AUUGAACGCUGGCGGCAUGCUUUACACAUGCAAGUCGAACGGCAGCACAGGGAGCUUGCUCCUGGGUGGCGAGUGGCGAACGGGUGAGUAAUGUAUCUGAACGUGCCUGGGAGUGGGGGAUAACUACUCGAAAGAGUGGCUAAUACCGCAUGAGAUCUUUGGAUGAAAGCGGGGGACCUUCGGGCCUCGUGCUACUGGAGCGGCCGAUAUCAGAUUAGGUUGUUGGUGGGGUAAAGGCCUACCAAGCCUGCGAUCUGUAGCUGGUCUGAGAGGACGACCAGCCACACUGGGACUGAGACACGGCCCAGACUCCUACGGGAGGCAGCAGUGGGGAAUUUUGGACAAUGGGCGCAAGCCUGAUCCAGCAAUGCCGCGUGCAGGACGAAGGCCUUCGGGUUGUAAACUGCUUUUGUACAGAACGAAAAGUCUCUGGCUAAUACCUAGAGAUCAUGACGGUACUGUAAGAAUAAGCACCGGCUAACUACGU
rnacentral:rRNA from 1 species